rnacentral:rRNA from 1 species
UACGGAGGGUGCGAGCGUUAUUCGGAAUUACUGGGCGUAAAGCGCGUGUAGGCGGGGAAGCAAGUCUGAUGUGAAAGCCCCGGGCGUAACCUGGGAAGUGCAUUGGAAACCGUUUUUCUUGAGUACUGGAGAGGAAGGGAGAAUUCCCGGUGUAGAGGUGAAAUUCGUAGAGAUCGGGAGGAACACCAGUGGCGAAGGCGCCCUUCUGGACGGUUACUGACGCUGAGACGCGAGAGCGUGGGGAACAAACAGG